rnacentral:lncRNA from 1 species
CUCUAUGUCCCAAAUGGCACCCUAUUACCUACUGAGUGCACUACAACCAGUGCCCACAGGGUUUUAUAGGAACAUGAUACUUUAGACCAGGGCCCACAGGGCAUUAUAGGAACACGAUACUUUAGACCAGGGACAACAGGCAACUACUAUCCUGUCACCACUAUCCUGUCAUCUACCUCAACACUAUCCUGUCAUCUACCUCACCCCGGUCCUGUCAUAUUCUUCACCACUAUCCUGUCACCACUAUCCUGUCAUCUACAUCACCACUAUCCUGUCAGCUACAUCACCACUAUCCUAUCAUCUACCUCACCACUAUCCUGUCAUCUACCUCACCACUAUCCUGUCAUCUACCUCACCCCGGUCCUGUCAUCUACCUCACCACUAUCCAGACAUCUACCUCACCACUAUCCUGUCAUCUACCUCACCACUAUCCUGUCAUCUACCUCACCACUAUCCUGUCAUCUACCUCACCACUAUCCUGUCAUCUACAUCACCACUAUCCUGUCAUCUACCUCACCACUAUCCUGUCAUCUACCUCACCACUAUCCAGUCAUCUACCUCACCACUAUCCAGUCAUCUACCUCACAACUAUCCUGUCAUCUACAUCACCACUAUCCUGUCACCCCUAUCCUGUCAUCUACCUCAUAACUAUCCUGUCAUCUACCUCACCACUAUCCUGUCACCACUAUCCUGUCACCACUAUCCUGUCACCACUAUCCUGUCAUCUACCUUGCCACUAUCCUGUCAUCUACCUCACUACUAUUCUGUCAUCUACCUCACCACUAUUCUGUCAUCUACCUUACCACUAUUCUGUCAUCUGCAUUACCACUAUCCUGUCAUCUACCUCACCACUACCAUGUCACCUAACUCACUACUAUCCUGUCAUAUACCUCACUACUAUCCUGUCACCACUAUCCUGUCAUCUACCUCACCACUAUCCUGUCAUCUACCUCACCACUAUCCUGUCAUCUACCUUACCACUAUCCUGUCACCAUUAUCCAGUCAUCUACCUCACCACCAUCCUGUCACCUACCUCACUACUAUCCUGUCACCACUAUCCUAACAUCUACCUCAUGACUAUCCUGUCAUCGACCUAACUAAUAUCCUGUCAUCUACCUCACUACUAUCCUGUCACCACUAUCCUGUCAUCUACCUUACCACUAUCCUGUCAUCUACCUCAACACUAUCCUGUCAUCUAACUCACCACUAUCCAACAUCUACCUCACCACUAUCCAGUCAUCUACCUCACCACUAUCCAGUCAUCUACCUCACAACUAUCCUGUCAUCUACAUCACCACUAUCCUGUCACCACUAUCCUGUCACCACUAUCCUGUCACCACUAUCCUGUCAUCUACCUUGCCACUAUCCUGUCACCUACCUCACUACUAUUCUGUCAUCUACCUCACCACUAUUCUGUCAUCUACCUUACCACUAUUCUGUCAUCUGCCUUACCACUAUCCUGUCAUCUACCUCACCACUACCAUGUCACCUAACUCACUACUAUCCUGUCAUAUACCUCACUACUAUCCUGUCACCACUAUCCCGUCAUCUACCUCACCACUAUCCUGUCAUCUACCUCACCACUAUCCUGUCAUCUACCUUACCACUAUCCUGUCACCAUUAUCCAGUCAUCUACCUCACCACCAUCCUGUCACCUACCUCACUACUAUCCUGUCACCACUAUCCUAACACCUACCUCAUGACUAUCCUGUCAUCGACCUAACUAACUAUCCAGUCAUCUACCUCACCACUAUCCAGUCAUCUACCUCACCACUAUCCUGUCAUCUACCUCACCACUAUCCUGUCACCACUAUCCUGUCAUCGAUCUCACCACUAUCCUGUCAUCUACCUCACCAAUAUCCUGUCAUCUACCUCACCACUAUCCUGUCAUCUACCUCACCACUAUCCUGUCAACUACCUCAUCCCUAUCCUGUCAUCUACCUCACCACUAUCCUGUCAUCUACCUCACCACUAUCAUGUCACCACUAUCCUGUCAUCUACCUCACCACUAUCCUGUCAUCUACCUCACCACUAUCCUGUCACCUACCUCACCACUAUCCUGUCACCUACCUCACCACUAUCCUGUCACCUACCUCACCACUAUCCUGUCAUCUACUUCACCACUAUCCUGUCAUCUACCUCACCACUAUCCUGUCAACUACCUCACAACUAUCCUGUCAUCUACCUCACCACUAUCCUGUCACCACUAUCCUGUCAUCUACCUCACCACUAUCCUGUCACCACUAUCCUGUCACCACUAUCCUGUCACCACUAUCCUGUCAUCUACCUUGCCACUAUCCUCUCAUGUACCUCACUACUAUUCUGUCAUCUACCUCACCACUAUUCUGUCAUCUACCUUACCACUAUCCUGUCAUCUACCUCACCACUACCAUGUCACCUAACUCACUACUAUCCUGUCAUAUACCUCACUACUAUUCUGUCAUCUACCUCACUACUAUCCUGUCACCACUAUCCUGUCAUCUACCUCAACACUAUCCUGUCAUCUACCUCACCCCGGUCCUGUCAUAUUCUUCACCACUAUCCUGUCACCACUAUCCUGUCAUCUACCUCAUAACUAUCCUGUCAUCUACCUCACCACUAUCCUGUCACCACUAUCCUGUCACCACUAUCCUGUCACCACUAUCCUGUCAUCUACCUUGCCACUAUCCUGUCAUCUACCUCACUACUAUUCUGUCAUCUACCUCACCACUAUUCUGUCAUCUACCUCACCACUAUUCUGUCAUCUGCCUUACCACUAUCCUGUCAUCUACCUCACCACUACCAUGUCACCUAACUCACUACUAUCCUGUCAUAUACCUCACUACUAUCCUGUCACCACUAUCCUGUCAUCUACCUCAACACUAUCCUGUCAUCUACCUCACCCCGGUCCUGUCAUAUUCUUCACCACUAUCCUGUCACCACUAUCCUGUCAUCUACAUCACCACUAUCCUGUCAGCUACAUCACCACUAUCCUAUCAUCUACCUCACCACUAUCCUGUCAUCUACCUCACCACUAUCCUGUCAUCUACCUCACCCCGGUCCUGUCAUCUACCUCACCACUAUCCAGACAUCUACCUCACCAGUAUCCUGGAAUCUACCUCACCACUAUCCUGUCAUCUACCUCACCACUAUCCUGUCAUCUACCUCACCACUAUCCUGUCAUCUACCUCACCACUAUCCUGUCAUCUACCUCACCACUAUCCAGUCAUCUACCUCACCACUAUCCAGUCAUCUACCUCACCACUAUCCAGUCAUCUACCUCACCACUAUCCAGUCAUCUACCUCACCACUAUCCUGUCAUCUACCUCACCACUAUCCUGUCACCACUAUCCUGUCAUCGAUCUCACCACUAUCCUGUCAUCUACCUCACCACUAUCCUGUCAUCUACCUCACCACUAUCCUGUCAUCUACCUCACCACUAUCCUGUCAACUACCUCAUCCCUAUCCUGUCAUCUACCUCACCACUAUCCUGUCAUCUACCUCACCACUAUCAUGUCACCACUAUCCUGUCAUCUACCUCACCACUAUCCUGUCAUCUACCUCACCACUAUCCUGUCACCUACCUCACCACUAUCCUGUCACCUACCUCACCACUAUCCUGUCACCUACCUCACCACUAUCCUGUCACCUACUUCACCACUAUCCUGUCAUCUACCUUACCACUAUCCUGUCAUCUACCUCACCACUAUCCUGUCACCUAUCUCACCACUAUCCUGUCAUCUACUUCACCACUAUCCUGUCAUCUACCUCACCACUAUCCUGUCAACUACCUCACCACUAUCCUGUCAUCUACCUCACCACUAUCCUGUCAUCUACCUCACCACUAUCCUGUCAACUACCUCAUCCCUAUCCUGUCAUCUACUUCACCACUAUCCUGUUAUCUACAUCACCACUAUCCUGUCACCACUAUCCUGUCAACUACCUCAUCCCUAUCCUGUCAUCUACCUCACCGCUAUCCUGUCAUCUACCUCACCGCUAUCCUGUCAUCUACCUCACCGCUAUCCUGUCAUCUACCUCACCACUAUCCUGUCAUCUACCUCACCACUAUCCUGUCAACUACCUCAUCCCUAUCCUGUCAUCUACUUCACCACUAUCCUGUUAUCUACAUCACCACUAUCCUGUCACCACUAUCCUGUCAACUACCUCAUCCCUAUCCUGUCAUCUACCUCACCACUAUCCAGUCAUCUACCUCACCACUAUCCAGUCAUCUACCUCACAACUAUCCUGUCAUCUACAUCACCACUAUCCUGUCACCACUAUCCUGUCACCACUAUCCUGUCACCACUAUCCUGUCAUCUACCUUGCCACUAUCCUGUCACCUACCUCACUACUAUUCUGUCAUCUACCUCACCACUAUUCUGUCAUCUACCUUACCACUAUUCUGUCAUCUGCCUUACCACUAUCCUGUCAUCUACCUCACCACUAUCCUGUCACCACUAUCCUGUCACCACUAUCCUGUCACCACUAUCCUGUCAUCUACCUUGCCACUAUCCUGUCAUCUACCUCACUACUAUUCUGUCAUCUACCUCACCACUAUUCUGUCAUCUACCUCACCACUAUUCUGUCAUCUGCCUUACCACUAUCCUGUCAUCUACCUCACCACUACCAUGUCACCUAACUCACUACUAUCCUGUCAUAUACCUCACUACUAUCCUGUCACCACUAUCCUGUCAUCUACCUCAACACUAUCCUGUCAUCUACCUCACCCCGGUCCUGUCAUAUUCUUCACCACUAUCCUGUCACCACUAUCCUGUCAUCUACAUCACCACUAUCCUGUCAGCUACAUCACCACUAUCCUAUCAUCUACCUCACCACUAUCCUGUCAUCUACCUCACCACUAUCCUGUCAUCUACCUCACCCCGGUCCUGUCAUCUACCUCACCACUAUCCAGACAUCUACCUCACCAGUAUCCUGGAAUCUACCUCACCACUAUCCUGUCAUCUACCUCACCACUAUCCUGUCAUCUACCUCACCACUAUCCUGUCAUCUACCUCACCACUAUCCUGUCAUCUACCUCACCACUAUCCAGUCAUCUACCUCACCACUAUCCAGUCAUCUACCUCACCACUAUCCAGUCAUCUACCUCACCACUAUCCAGUCAUCUACCUCACCACUAUCCUGUCAUCUACCUCACCACUAUCCUGUCACCACUAUCCUGUCAUCGAUCUCACCACUAUCCUGUCAUCUACCUCACCACUAUCCUGUCAUCUACCUCACCACUAUCCUGUCAUCUACCUCACCACUAUCCUGUCAACUACCUCAUCCCUAUCCUGUCAUCUACCUCACCACUAUCCUGUCAUCUACCUCACCACUAUCAUGUCACCACUAUCCUGUCAUCUACCUCACCACUAUCCUGUCAUCUACCUCACCACUAUCCUGUCACCUACCUCACCACUAUCCUGUCACCUACCUCACCACUAUCCUGUCACCUACCUCACCACUAUCCUGUCACCUACUUCACCACUAUCCUGUCAUCUACCUUACCACUAUCCUGUCAUCUACCUCACCACUAUCCUGUCACCUAUCUCACCACUAUCCUGUCAUCUACUUCACCACUAUCCUGUCAUCUACCUCACCACUAUCCUGUCAACUACCUCACCACUAUCCUGUCAUCUACCUCACCACUAUCCUGUCAUCUACCUCACCACUAUCCUGUCAACUACCUCAUCCCUAUCCUGUCAUCUACUUCACCACUAUCCUGUUAUCUACAUCACCACUAUCCUGUCACCACUAUCCUGUCAACUACCUCAUCCCUAUCCUGUCAUCUACCUCACCGCUAUCCUGUCAUCUACCUCACCGCUAUCCUGUCAUCUACCUCACCGCUAUCCUGUCAUCUACCUCACCACUAUCCUGUCAUCUACCUCACCACUAUCCUGUCAACUACCUCAUCCCUAUCCUGUCAUCUACUUCACCACUAUCCUGUUAUCUACAUCACCACUAUCCUGUCACCACUAUCCUGUCAACUACCUCAUCCCUAUCCUGUCAUCUACCUCACCACUAUCCAGUCAUCUACCUCACCACUAUCCAGUCAUCUACCUCACAACUAUCCUGUCAUCUACAUCACCACUAUCCUGUCACCACUAUCCUGUCACCACUAUCCUGUCACCACUAUCCUGUCAUCUACCUUGCCACUAUCCUGUCACCUACCUCACUACUAUUCUGUCAUCUACCUCACCACUAUUCUGUCAUCUACCUUACCACUAUUCUGUCAUCUGCCUUACCACUAUCCUGUCAUCUACCUCACCACUACCAUGUCACCUAACUCACUACUAUCCUGUCAUAUACCUCACUACUAUCCUGUCACCACUAUCCCGUCAUCUACCUCACCACUAUCCUGUCAUCUACCUCACCACUAUCCUGUCAUCUACCUUACCACUAUCCUGUCACCAUUAUCCAGUCAUCUACCUCACCACCAUCCUGUCACCUACCUCACUACUAUCCUGUCACCACUAUCCAGUCAUCUACCUCACCACUAUCCAGUCAUCUACCUCACCACUAUCCUGUCAUCUACCUCACCACUAUCCUGUCACCACUAUCCUGUCAUCGAUCUCACCACUAUCCUGUCAUCUACCUCACCAAUAUCCUGUCAUCUACCUCACCACUAUCCUGUCAUCUACCUCACCACUAUCCUGUCAACUACCUCAUCCCUAUCCUGUCAUCUACCUCACCACUAUCCUGUCAUCUACCUCACCACUAUCCUGUCAUCUACCUCACCACUAUCCUGUCAACUACCUCAUCCCUAUCCUGUCAUCUACUUCACCACUAUCCUGUUAUCUACAUCACCACUAUCCUGUCACCACUAUCCUGUCAACUACCUCAUCCCUAUCCUGUCAUCUACCUCACCACUAUCCAGUCAUCUACCUCACCACUAUCCAGUCAUCUACCUCACAACUAUCCUGUCACCUACCUCACCACUAUCCUGUCAUCUACUUCACCACUAUCCUGUCAUCUACCUUACCACUAUCCUGUCAUCUACCUCACCACUAUCCUGUCACCUAUCUCACCACUAUCCUGUCAUCUACUUCACCACUAUCCUGUCAUCUACCUCACCACUAUCCUGUCAACUACCUCACCACUAUCCUGUCAUCUACCUCACCACUAUCCUGUCAUCUACCUCACCACUAUCCUGUCAACUACCUCAUCCCUAUCCUGUCAUCUACUUCACCACUAUCCUGUUAUCUACAUCACCACUAUCCUGUCACCACUAUCCUGUCAACUACCUCAUCCCUAUCCUGUCAUCUACCUCACCGCUAUCCUGUCAUCUACCUCACCGCUAUCCUGUCAUCUACCUCACCGCUAUCCUGUCAUCUACCUCACCGCUAUCCUGUCAUCUACCUCACCGCUAUCCUGUCAUCUACCUCACCACUAUCCUGUCAUCUACCUCACCACUAUCCUGUCAUCUACCUCACCACUAUCCUGUCAUCUACCUCACCACUAUCCUGUCAUCUACCUCACCAAUAUCCUGUUAUCUGCCUCACCACUAUCCUGUCAUCUACCUCACCACUAUCCUGUCAUCUACCUCACUACUAUCCUGUCAUCUACCUCACCACUACCCUGUCACCACUAUCCAGACAUCUACCU